rnacentral:rRNA from 1 species
CUCUGAAGAGAGAGUCAAAGACCGUGAAACCGCUCAGAGUAUAAGCCAAUGGAGCUUGGAAGGCUUCCGCAGAUGGUGUCCAUCAUACGUGGUGUUCUUAAGACCUUGAGUGUGGCUCGUCAGGCGUCAGAUUUGAGUAUGCCAGGUUAGCUGUCGUGCGGAGGGUUCGCGUUGGAGGACUUCGGUUUCGGCCGGAGUGCACCUUCCGUCCCUUUUUGAAUGGACGUUCAGAACCUCUUGGUCUAAUGCGGUUAUGCCCACCACAGCACGUUGUGAGGUCACCCACAGGCUCAAACUGCCGAUCGCGCAUCCAGGACGAUGGCAACGAUGCGUUGUUGAUGAUGGCUCUACGGAGAGACUUCACUCACACGCGUGUCUAGUCCUGGGUCGGGCGGCGACCGAGAUAAACCUGGUAUGAUCCUCUUGCGACGAGCUGCUUUCUGGCCAGACCGACGCCCAGGCGCUUCCACUGUGCCGGAAGCGUCAAUCCCAGGCGGUGUGAACCCAGCUGCAUUAUGCAAGGUCUCUCAGCCGGGCGUUGGUCUGAGUGGUGUUAAGUCCAGCACCAUCGGUCACGUCUCGAAACACGGGCCAAGGAGUAUAGCAUGUGUGCAAGUCUAAGGGUCUCACAAAACCCGAAGGCGAAGUGAAAGCAAGACUGUGGCGGGGGAGCUACGGCAAACCCGCCGGCCUAGUGACGCUUGCGUUGCAUGGCUUUUAGCAGAGCUGAUCCUGUUUUCUCAAUUAAUUCUUGGUGCAG